GACAAAUUACCCCAGAAAGCUGAAAGUGUCAUAAUUUCUGUAAAGUUUGGACUCGGAAACAAGAGUCUCCAACACAGAUUUUUAAAGCAGCAGAUAAGAAUCUUCUAAACUCCACUUGUACUGAAAUCAAAAUGGAUGAAAGAAGUGUGAAUUUACUUAGCUUGCAAACUGUUACAUUAAAUAUGGACAUUAUUCAAGAGAAUAAAGCCUAAAAAGAAAAAGAAAAAAGGGCUGCCCUGUGAUUUCUAGCUGCAGUCGCCACUUGCAGAUGAUGGCUUUUCGUCUCAGCUUAACUUCUGUGCUACUCAAAAUCUCUGCUGGAGAAAACAACUGUCAAAUGCCUGGGUGUUGCGCACAGAGCAGCUACAGGCCUCAUACAGAAUGAAAUGAUGCCAUAAAGAAGAGCCUGCAGCAGUUGCCAAGCAGCUGAAGGAUCCUGAGACCAGGGUGAUACCAGGUGGAAAGAAGUCUGAUAUUGAAAAUGGUAGCAUGUGAUUGAUAGGUGAAAAUUAUAAUUGACCAUCUCUCUCCAGCAGGGCAAAUAUUUGGUGGAGAUGGGUUCUUAUCAUAAUUAUAUUUGUGCUUGAGCCAAAUUACAUAGAGAUGUUCAAAGCAUCUACAGUCCAUGAAUUCACAGUGUGUUAUAAUGAACAUAAUACAUUAACAGUCAAUUUAUUCAUUUUAUGAAUGAGAUUUGGCAUAAAGUAUUACAGAAAGUGGAUGCCUGGACCUAAUAUAGCAUUGUAG
ensembl:lncRNA